rnacentral:rRNA from 1 species
AACGAACGCUGGCGGCGGGCUUAACACAUGCAAGUCGAACGGUUGUAGCAAUACAGCAGUGGCAGACGGGUGAGUAACACGUGGGAACCUUCCUAGAGGUACGGAACAACGCAGGGAAACUUGCGCUAAUACCGUAUACGCUCGUGAGAGGAAAGAUUUAUCGCCUUUAGACGGGCCCGCGUCGGAUUAGGUAGUUGUUGGGGUAACGGCCUACCAAGCCGACGAUCCGUAGCUGAUCUGAGAGGAUGAUCAGCCACACUGGGACUGAGACACGGCCCAGACUCCUACGGGAGGCAGCAGUGGGGAAUCUUGGACAAUGGGCGCAAGCCUGAUCCGGCCAUGCCGCGUGAGUGAAGAAGGCCUUAGGGUUGUAAAGCUCUUUUGCCAGGGACGAUAAUGACGGUACCUGGAGAAUAAGCCCCGGCAAACUUCGUGCCAGCAGCCGCUGUAAGAC